AUCAAAGUCAAAAUAUAGACAUUUGUCAUAUCUUGAGAUUGUAAAAGAUAUUGCCAUAAAUGACAGUUCUCAAAAAAUUUUGAGAAGUCUGUUUUUUUUUUUUUUAUUCAUACGGUGCCGUUUCUCACACGCACAAUCCUAGCAGUAUCUCUCUCCCUUUCGUUGCCAUGUCUACUGUUUUGCAACCAGGGAUCGACAAAGUCGCUCUGCGAUUCAUGGGAAGAUCAGGCUAGGAUUAUCCGUGCUCGACGAAAUUGCUGGCUUUUAAAGAAAAAAGUAUGUAUUAUGAAAAUGAGAAGAAACAUUUUUCUUUGGAUCACUGUUGGGCGAUCUUGGAACAUUGCAUUAAGUGGGAAGAUUGGGCAUCCUCCAAAAAGCCAAAGUCUCCUGCAAUGACCCCAUAUUCCUCUUUCUCAUCCUAAAUUCAAGAAACACCCAUUUCUCUCGAUUUCGAUCAAGAUCUAACCGGAAUUGCUGUUGACUCCCCAAGAACCAAAAGGCCUAGUGAAAGGAAAGCUACAAAAAAAGUACAUAGGAAAAACAAGAUAGCAGAUACUUCAGACACUCAUUUUUGUGAUUUGAUGGAAAAUUUUAACAAAAAUGCAUCUGAUGCAAGUGAGAGUAGACUGAAGAAGUUCGAAAUAGAAGAAAGAAAAGUUAGAGUAAUGGAGCAAAUGAAUCAAAAGGAGUAAGAAGCCAAGGAAAAAGAGAGAGAUGAUAAGAUUAUGAUGAUGGACGUUUCCAACAAGGACCCUCAGGCGAAAGUUUAUUACCAGCUGCGUAAGGAUGAGAUUCUUGUCAAACUACAAGCACGCUCAACAAACCUUGAUUAUUAUGUUCCUCUUCCCCAUCUCCAUGAUUAUCUACUUUUUUUUGUUAUGCUUAUGUAUUUAUUUUGGAUCAUUGUUAUGGAUUUUAUUGAAUUGUAGUAUUGAAA